GGGGGUGAUCGGUUUCGACUUCGACGGUUGAUAUGAGAGAAGCGAGCCGUGGUCUCCGGAGCCACGUUAAAGAGCCGGAACAUUUACAAACGCCAAUGUCAAAACUAAUGACCUGGCGCUCGCUGCCUAAUUUAGGCAACGGGUAACGGCCCCACUGCCUCAGCCUCUCGGGUAGCGGUGGUCCUCAUCUGAGAGGCUUGCCUUCAGUCAUCGCCGGUGUGAUUGAAGGGACUUUUAGCCGGAUACGGUUGCUUGAUCUGGGGUCGCUACCAGCUCGCAGCCCGACAAUUCGCAAAGCGACUGCGCUCGGAGAAGACUCAUUGAAACGCCGGGGGACGCGGGUUCGAUUCCCGCCACCUCCACUA
rnacentral:tmRNA from 1 species